CUUGUCUGAUAUCGGGAAGAGGAGGUAAAUCAAGUGGUGCGAGAGGGUUAUAACCAUAAACUACAUGAAAAGGACUAAACCCCGUACUCCUAUUAGUAGACCAGUUGUAAGCAAACUCAGCCUGAAAUAAUUUCUGAUCCCAAGACUUGAAGUGAUCACCCACCAGAUAUCGUAACAAGUCUCCCAAAGAAGGUUUACAACUUCGAUUUGUCCAUUGGUUUGAGGAUGAUAGGUACUACCAAAGUCGAGCUUGGUAUUAGACAAACGCCACAAACAUCUCCAGAAGUGGCUAAGAAAACGAGUGUCUUUGUCAGACGCAAUGGACGACGGCAAUCCAUGUAACCGAUAUAUCUCACGAAAAUAAAGUUGUGCCACAUGAACAUCAUCUGAUGUCUUCUUAUAAGCCACAAAGUGUGCUAUCUUGGAGAACCUGUCUACCACCACAAAAAAAAUAGAAUCAUAUUCGCAUUGUGUUCUAGGCAACCCCAACACAAAAUCCAUGCUAACACUAGUUCAAGGUCGGUCUGGAAUAGGCAAGGGCGAAUAAAGACUUGCAUUAGUUGCUUUCCCUUUCGAGACCUGACAAAUCUUACAUCCCUCCACAAAUUUUGCGACUUCCUUCUGCAUAUGAGGCCAGAAAAACUGCUCCGUGAUAAGCUUCAAAGUUUUGUCAUAACCCACAUGACCUUCAUUCUGUAAUUCUUGAAUAAUC
rnacentral:lncRNA from 1 species